GGCGAGUAUAACUUAGUCGGUUAAAGUGCUAGACUGUGACUCUGGAAACAUGGGUUCAAAUCCCAUUAUUCGCC
rnacentral:tRNA from 1 species